UUUUAUGGAGAGUUUGAUCCUGGCUCAGGAUGAACGCUGGCGGCGUGCCUAAUACAUGCAAGUCGAGCGAACGGACGAGAAGCUUGCUUCUCUGAUGUUAGCGGCGGACGGGUGAGUAACACGUGGAUAACCUACCUAUAAGACUGGGAUAACUUCGGGAAACCGGAGCUAAUACCGGAUAAUAUUUUGAACCGCAUGGUUCAAAAGUGAAAGACGGUCUUGCUGUCACUUAUAGAUGGAUCCGCGCUGCAUUAGCUAGUUGGUAAGGUAACGGCUUACCAAGGCAACGAUGC
rnacentral:rRNA from 1 species